AGAGUUUGAUCCUGGCUCAGGACGAACGCUGGCGGCGUGCCUAAUACAUGCAAGUCGAGCGGACAGAUGGGAGCUUGCUCCCUGAUGUUAGCGGCGGACGGGUGAGUAACACGUGGGUAACCUGCCUGUAAGACUGGGAUAACUCCGGGAAACCGGGGCUAAUACCGGAUGGUUGUUUGAACCGCAUAGUUCAAACAUGGGGGCCUCUUCUCGUCCAACUUUUACAGAUGGACCCACCCGCACAUUAGCUAUUUGGUGACGUAUCAUCUCCGCAACGUAACUGGGCUUACCAGACCAGAGAGUGAGCGGCCCCCCUGUGAGACACAGACUCCUCCCAGACUC
rnacentral:rRNA from 1 species